CUUUCCGGCGGUGACGACCUACGCACACGAGAACAUGCCUGUGAGUGCUUUGGUCCAGGUUUCGGCGGAGAUCUCGCUGUUCUGUCCGAACUCUCCCCUCACGCUGAUUUCGGAUCGUAGAGGGUCCUCAUUUACCCUCUGCACUUCUUAGGACAUUAACUCCAGGGACCGCAGCGGCCCACGGGCCACCCGCAUAGACGGGAGCGGAGAGGAGAUAAGAUGGCGGCCCAGCUGCGCAGACACCAGGGGCGGCGAGGGGCGAGCUCUCCCCGGUGUGUGACAGUGGGGGCUAUUUUCGACCAUCCCAUUUUCGCUGUUGGUUUCUAAAUCUCUGCAUUUCUGUCCCUCUUAGCUCGCAAAGGAUCUCCUUCAUCCCUCUCCAGAAGAGGAGAAGAGGAAACACAAGAAGAAACGCCUGGUGCAGAGCCCCAAUUCCUACUUCAUGGAUGUGAAAUGCCCAGGAUGUUCCUUCAGGAGGAAGCAGCACUAAAAGCACUCUGAGUCAAGAUGAGUGGGAAACCAUCUCAAUAAACACAUUUUGGAUAAAUCCUGU
rnacentral:lncRNA from 1 species